AGUCCAUAGUGUGGACAUUUCCAAAACAAAUCUCAAAACCUUUCCCAUGCUUCAUAUAAUGAUUCACCAUCUAAUUGACUAAAACUAAUAUUAUCCAUUCUGAGUUU